CAGUAGCCGCGGUAAUACGAAGGGGGCUAGCGUUGUUCGGAAUUACUGGGCGUAAAGCGCACGUAGGCGGCUAUUCAAGUCAGGGGUGAAAGCCCGGGGCUCAACCCCGGAACUGCCUUUGAAACUAGAUAGCUUGAAUCUUGGAGGGGCGAGUGGAAUUCCGAGUGUAGAGGUGAAAUUCGUAGAUAUUCGGAAGAACACCAGUGGCGAAGGCGACUCGCUGGACAAGUAUUGACGCUGAGGUGCGAAAGCGUGGGGAGCAAACAGGAUUAGAUACCCCGGUAGUCCCUGUCUCUUAUAC
rnacentral:rRNA from 1 species